CAACUUUCAGCAACGGAUCUCUUGGCUCUCGCAUCGAUGAAGAACGCAGCGAAAUGCGAUAAGUAAUGUGAAUUGCAGAAUUCAGUGAAUCAUCGAAUCUUUGAACGCACCUUGCGCUCCUUGGUAUUCCUUGGAGCAUGCCUGUUUGAGUAUCAUG
rnacentral:rRNA from 1 species